GACGAACGCUGGCGGCGGGCUUAACACAUGCAAGUCGAACGGAAAGGCCCUGCUUUUGUGGGGUGCUCGAGUGGCGAACGGGUGAGUAACACGUGAGUAACCUGCCCUUGACUUUGGGAUAACUUCAGGAAACUGGGGCUAAUACCGGAUAGGAGCUCCUGCGGCAUGGGGGGGGUUGGAAAGUUUCGGCGGUUGGGGAUGGACUCGCGGCUUAUCAGCUUGUUGGUGGGGUAGUGGCUUACCAAGGCUUUGACGGGUAGCCGGCCUGAGAGGGUGACCGGCCACAUUGGGACUGAGAUACGGCCCAGACUCCUACGAGAGGCAGCAGUGGGGAAUAUUGCACAAUGGGCGGAAGCCUGAUGCAGCAACGCCGCGUGCGGGAUGACGGCCUUCGGGUUGUAAACCGCUUUCGCCUGUGACGAAGCGUGAGUGACGGUAAUGGGUAAAGAAGCACCGGCUAACUACGUG
rnacentral:rRNA from 1 species